AGAGUUUGAUCCUGGCUCAGAUUGAACGCUGGCGGCAUGCUUUACACAUGCAAGUCGAACGGCAGCACAGGGAGCUUGCUCCCGGGUGGCGAGUGGCGCACGGGUGAGUAAUACAUCGGAACGUGUCCUGUUNUGGGGGAUAACUGCUCGAAAGGGUGGCUAAUACCGCAUGAGACCUGAGGGUGAAAGCGGGGGAUCGCAAGACCUCGCGCAAUUGGAGCGGCCGAUGCCCGAUUAGCUAGUUGGUGAGGUAAAGGCUCACCAAGGCGACGAUCGGUAGCUGGUCUGAGAGGACGACCAGCCCACACUGGGACUGGGACACGGCCCAGACUCCUACGGGAGGCAGCA
rnacentral:rRNA from 1 species